UAUGGCCACAUCACGUCGAAAUACCGGUUCCCAUAUAGCCACUGAAGUUAAGCAACGUCGAGCCUGGUCAGUAGCUAGAUACGUGACCACUUAGGAAUACUAUCUGCUGUAAG